rnacentral:rRNA from 1 species
CACCUAAUAGCUAGCCCGCCCCAACAAAAACAACAAAUCAUUAUUUAUAACCCCUCAUCCCCGAGACCCAGCGUAAACAAACCAUUUUUCCACCUUAGUAUAGGCGAUAGAAAAGGAGCCCCGGCGCAAUAGAGAAAGUACCGCAAGGGAAAGCUGAAAGAGAAAUGAAAUAACCCAGUAAAGACUAGAAAAGCAGAGAUUUAUCCUCGUACCUUUUGCAUCAUGAACUAGCUAGUAAUUUUCAAGCAAAGUGACCUUUAGUUUGACCCCCCGAAACUAAGUGAGCUACUCCAAGACAGCCUAAAAUAGGGCGAACCCGUCUCUGUGGCAAAAGAGUGGGAAGAGCUUUGAGUAGAGGUGACAGACCUACCGAACUUAGUUAUAGCUGGUUGCCCGAGAAAUGGAUAGGAGUUCAGCCUUUUGGGCUUCUUUAUUCCCCCUGUCUCAACCUCACCAGAUAGGCCAAGAAACCAAAAGAGUUAUUCAAAGGGGGUACAGCCCCUUUGAAACAAGACACAACUUUAACAGGAGGAUAGAGAUCAUAAUACCCCAGGGAUAAAAUGUUUUGGUGGGCCUAAAAGCAGCCACCCCCUCAGAAAGCGUUAAAGCUCAUACAUUUUUAACCCCUUUAAUUCUGAUAACCAUAUCUCAACCCCUGCGACUACCGGGCCGUCCCAUGUCCCCCAUGGGAGCGACCAUGCUAGUAUGAGUAAUAAGAGGGCCACGCCCCUCUCCCCGCACACGUGUACCUCGGAACGAACCCGCACCGAACUUUAACGGCCCCAACAAAAGAGGGCACUGGACAACAAGUAAAAAGCCAGAAAAACAUCCAGCAUGUAACCGUUAACCCCACACUGGCGUGCCCAAAGGGAAAGACUAAAAGAAAGAGAAGGAACUCGGCAAACACCUAAAGCCUCGCCUGUUUACCAAAAACAUCGCCUCUUGCAAAAUUAAUGAAUAAGAGGUCCUGCCUGCCCUGUGACUAUACGUUUAACGGCCGCGGUAUUUUGACCGUGCGAAGGUAGCGCAAUCACUUGUCUUUUAAAUGGAGACCUGUAUGAAUGGCAAGACGAGGGCUUGACUGUCUCCUCUUUCAAGUCAAUGAAAUUGAUCUCCCCGUGCAGAAGCGGGGAUAUAAUCAUAAGACGAGAAGACCCUAUGGAGCUUUAGACACCAAAGUAGCCCCUGUUAAACACCCCUGCUUAAAGGACUAAACCGAAGGGGUCCUACCCUAAUGUCUUUGGUUGGGGCGACCGCGGGGAAACACAAAACCCCCAUGUGGAACGGGACCACCCAUUCCUAAAACAGAGAGCUCCUGCUCUAAGAAACAAAAUUUUUGACCUCCAGAUCCGGCAAAGCCGAUCAACGGACCGAGUUACCCUAGGGAUAACAGCGCAAUCCUCUUUUAGAGCCCAUAUCGACAAGGGGGUUUACGACCUCGAUGUUGGAUCAGGACAUCCUAAUGGUGCAGCCGCUAUUAAGGGUUCGUUUGUUCAACGAUUAAAGUCCUACGUGAUCUGAGUUCAGACCGGAGUAAUCCAGGUCAGUUUCUAUCUAUGCUAUGCUCUUUUCUAGUACGAAAGGACCGAAAAGAAGGGGCCCAUGCUUACGGCACGCCUCACCCCUACCUAAUGAAAUCAACUAAAACAGGCAAGAGGACAUAACCCCACAAGCCUGAGAACACGGCAU